UACGGAAGGCAGCAGUGGGGAAUAUUGCACAAUGGGCGCAAGCCUGAUGCAGCCAUGCCGCGUGUAUGAAAAAGGCCUUCGGGUUGUAAAGUACUUUCAGUCGUGAGGAAGGUGUUAAGGUUAAUAACCUUAGCAAUUGACGUUAGCGACAGAAGAAGCACCGGCUAACUCCGUGCCAGCAGCCGCGGUAAUACGGAGGGUGCGAGCGUUAAUCGGAAUUACUGGGCGUAAAGGGCACGCAGGCGGUUAAUUAAGUUGGAUGUGAAAUCCCCGGGCUUAACCUGGGAAUGGCAUUCAAGCUGGUUAGCUAGAGUCUUGUAGAGGGGGUAGAAUUCCAUGUGUAGCGGUGAAAUGCGUAGAGAUGUGGAGGAAUACCGGUGGCGAAGGCGGCCCCUGGAUAAAGACUGACGCUCAUGUGCGAAAGCGUGGGGAGCAAACAGGGAUUAGAUACC
rnacentral:rRNA from 1 species